CGUAUACGUCACAAUUUGUGAAUGUGUUUGUGUUUAAUGGCGAAUUGUGAAUAGUACUACAGAUUUUUGUGAAAUAUCUCUUGAAACUUGGAAAUUACUGAGAUUUGUAGUGUGAAUUGUACAUAUUCGAUUUUACAAAAUGCGGUCAGUAGUGGAAAUAGGGGCUACAGUCCCUGCCUUUUUGGGAAAACUGUGGAAAUUGGUCAAUGAUUCUGAAACCAAUAAUUUGAUUUCUUGGAGUCCUGGAGGGAAAACAUUUGUGAUAAAGAACCAAGCAGAUUUUGCAAGAGAACUAUUACCUUUAUAUUAUAAACACAACAAUAUGGCAAGCUUUAUUCGGCAGUUGAACAUGUAUGGCUUUCACAAGAUCACUUCAGUUGAAAAUGGUGGUUUAAGAUAUGAGAAAGAUGAAAUUGAAUUUUCCCAUCCAUGUUUUAUGAGAGGACAUGCCUAUCUAUUGGAGCACAUUAAAAGGAAGAUUGCUAAUCCAAAAUCAAUUGUAACAAGUAACGAAAGUGGUGAGAAAAUUCUGUUGAAACCCGAGUUGAUGAAUAAAGUACUAGCAGAUGUGAAGCAGAUGAAAGGUAAACAGGAAAGUCUUGACGCUAAGUUUAGCGCCAUGAAGCAAGAGAAUGAGGCUCUGUGGAGGGAAGUCGCCAUCCUGCGGCAGAAGCACAUCAAACAGCAGCAGAUUGUUAAUAAUCUCAUCCAAUUCUUGAUGUCUUUGGUACAACCAGCAAGGCCUCCAAAUCCUAAUGUCAACAAUGUUGGAGUGAAGAGGCCAUACCAGUUGAUGAUUAACAAUGCAGCUCAUAAUGCAGGAGACCAAUAUCCAGGCAGAUUGAAGAAUGUAAAAUUGGACAAAGAUCUGUUGGAAGAAUUAAAUGAGGAUAACUUAGAGGAUGGACCUACUAUCCAUGAAUUGGCUCAUGAUGACCUGAUGCACAAUGAAGUAUCUCAAGAUUCGGUCAAUGCUGCAACUUUCAUGAACAAUAUAUCUCCAGGAUCAAAUUCUGGAGCUGGUCAUAGUCCUGUUGAUCCCUCAUCAUCCCUACAGUACCAUGUUACCAUGGAGGAUGGAGAUGAUGCAGAAGCAGAUGGCACGAGACAGAAAUAUCCCGUUUACUCAGCCAAUAAUAAUGGUUUGUUGCGCACUAUUGAGGUAGAGGUACCAAUGGUCGCCUCACCUUCUCCUAACAUAGCAAUGCCUACGUCGCCGAUUGAUCAGCCGGUGAUCACGAAUGUGGUCUCCAUGUCUCCUGGACCCUCGAGAUCUAAGGCGCGGAACAAUGUCAACAAAGUACCACAAGGUGUAAGAAAUCUGCUAUCACCAAGCAACUUUACGCCAUCAGCUGAUCUGAGGCUUCCAGCUGAAAUAUUCGCUAGCGAUGACUCAGUGAGCGAUGCUGGAGUGGCGGCUUCCGACGACACACUGCUGCAGGAUGUCCUAGGCUCUGAAGCUCUUUUGGCUGCCACAAAGGACAAAAUGCUUGGUGGUAUCAAUAUAAAGUUGGAGAAACCUAACCCAAGCAACAAGUCAAAGAAAUCAAAGAAAACACAGAAAGACAAUACAACCAAUCUGAACCUGGAGGACAUUAAGACCGAACUUCAGGAUGAUCUGGAUUGGAACAAUAUGACUUUGGCCACAGUUAACAACAAUCCUGGCGUCAAUAGAUACCCGUCAGUGAAUAGGAGUAACAUCGGCAAAAAUCGAGAGGAAUACUCUUCUCUAUUUGGAACUAAUAACAACAAGGGAGACAUCGAUGAUCACUUAGACUCAAUGCAAACAGACCUUGACUCAUUGAGGGAGAUGCUUCGGAGCGAUGCGUAUGCUCUCGACACGAAUACUUUAAUGGGCACUGACGAACCAGCGAUUGGACUUUCCAUGAUGUCUCACAUUCCUUCUCGACAACAUCCAUCACACGAUUAUCUAUUUGGAUCUGAGGAUCCCUUCUAUGGGCUCUCUUACAAUCCUGUAGAUGAGAAAACAGCGAAGACAGCUAACAAUGAUACAACCAAACAGUAUCCGAUGCUUGAUUUUGAUUGGCUGAUGUGUAGCAGCGAUGCAUCGCCCGCGAAGUAGUAGUGGCGUCAUCGACUUUCAAGACAUUGCAACGCUGUCUGCAUCAUGUCAACAUUAUAUUCCUCUGAAGGGAAUCAGCUUAUCUCGUAUACAGGGAAUAUUCCAGACUUUGACGAUAUAAGCAUGCCAGAGUUGGAGGCGGAGGGGGCGGACACGUGCCCGUCGCCGCUGCCCGGGGGCUCCGAGCUCAACACCCCGCUGG
rnacentral:misc_RNA from 1 species